UACGGAGGGGGCUAGCGUUGUUCGGAAUCACUGGGCGUAAAGCGCACGUAGGCGGCUUUCUAAGUCAGGGGUGAAAUCCUGGAGCUCAACUCCAGAACUGCCUUUGAUACUGGGGAGCUCGAGUCCGGAAGAGGUGAGUGGAACUCCGAGUGUAGAGGUGAAAUUCGUAGAUAUUCGGAAGAACACCGGUGGCGAAGGCGGCUCACUGGUCCGGUACUGACGCUGAGGUGCGAAAGCGUGGGGAGCAAACAGG
rnacentral:rRNA from 1 species